GACGAACGCUGGCGGCGUGCCUAAUACAUGCAAGUAGAACGCUGAAGGAGGAGCUUGCUUCUCUGGAUGAGUUGCGAACGGGUGAGUAACGCGUAGGUAACCUGCCUGGUAGCGGGGGAUAACUAUUGGAAACGAUAGCUAAUACCGCAUAAUAGUAGAUGUUGCAUGACAUUUGCUUAAAAGGUGCAAUUGCCUCACUACCAGAUGGACCUGCGUUGUAUUAGCUAGUUGGUGGGGUAACGGCUCACCAAGGCGACGAUUCAUAGCCGACCUGAGAGGGUGGACCGCCAAACUGGGACUGGGACACCGCCCAGACUUCUACGGGAGGCAGCAGGAGGGAAUCUUCGGAAAUGGACGGAAGGCUGACCGAGCAACGCCGCGGGAGGGAAGGAGGUUUUCGGGUCGGAAAGCUCUGUUGUAAGGGAAGAACGAGUGUGAGAGUGGAAAGUUCACACUGUGACGGUAUCUUACCAGAAAGGGACGGCUAACUACGUG
rnacentral:rRNA from 1 species